rnacentral:pre_miRNA from 1 species
AAUAAGUGCAGCCAUAAAUAUCCGUGUUUAGCGCUUUGACCAUCCGUCUUAUUUAAAAAAUUUAUGAAAAAUGUUUAAAAAAUUAGUCACACAUAAAGUACUAUUCAUGUUUUAUCAUCUAAUAACAAUAAAAAUACUAAUCAUAAUCUUUUUUUAAAUAAGACGAACGGUCAAACGUUGAACAUGAAUACUGCUAAAACUGUACUUAUU